UCCGGUUUCGCACCGGCAGUCUUCCUAGAGUCCCCGGCUUUACCCGCUGGUAACUAGGAACGGGGGUUGCGCUCGUUGCGGGACUUAACCCAACAUCUCACGACACGAGCUGACGACAGCCAUGCAGCACCUGUGCACAGACUCCGAAGAGCGCACAUCGUUUCUGACGUGCUUCCUGUGCAUGUCAAGCCUGGGUAAGGUUCUUCGCGUUGCGUCGAAUUAAACCACAUGCUCCACCGCUUGUGCGGGCCCCCGUCAAUUCCUUUGAGUUUCAGCCUUGCGGCCGUACUCCCCAGGCGGGGUACUUCCUGCGUUAGCGCCGGCACUCAGGGGGUCGCUCCCCCAAGCACCUAGUACCCAUCGUUUACGGCGUGGACUAC
rnacentral:misc_RNA from 1 species